rnacentral:rRNA from 1 species
CACGCCGUAAACGAUGUCUACUCGGAGUUUGGUGUCUUGAACACUGGGCUCUCAAGCUAACGCAUUAAGUAGACCGCCUGGGGAGUACGGCCGCAAGGUUAAAACUCAAAUGAAUUGACGGGGCCGCACAAGCGGUGGAGCAUGUGGUUUAAUUCGAUGCAACGCGAAGAACCUUACCUACUCUUGACAUCCACGGAAUUCGCUAGAGAUAGCUUAGUGCCUUCGGGAACCGUGAGACAGGUGCUGCAUGGCUGUCGUCAGCUCGUGUUGUGAAAUGUUGGGUUAAGUCCCGCAACGAGCGCAACCCCUAUCCUUAUUUGCCAGCACGUAAUGGUGGGAACUCUAGGGAGACUGCCGGUGAUAAACCG